GGCGCUAUAGUGUAGUGGUUAUCACCCGGGAUUUUGACAUGAAGUUCCCGAAACCCAGGUUCGAACCCUGGUAGUGCCU